rnacentral:tRNA from 1 species
UGGGGUUGUGGCUCAGUGGUAGAGCGCCUGCCUCGCAUGUGUGAGACCCUGGGUUCGAUCCUCAGCACCACAA